ensembl:lncRNA
GGAGCUGGGUCUUUAAAAUAACCACUGUCUCGUUACAGAGUGAAAGUAGCAGUUCCUCCUGAAGGUCAGAGAUUGCAGCAUCUGAGGGCCUCUUCAAAAGAAGACGUAGUUGAUGAAGACGUUCUGGAGCAGGACCAGAAAGACCACGACCAAGCAGCCUUGAGAUCUUAGGCAGCGUCUCCCUCAGACCAAAGAACUACAGACUCUUCACAACCUGCUCAAACUCUUGGUACAGGACCUCACCACACGGGUC